ensembl:lncRNA
ACGGCAGCUGUAGGCGAAGAUGGCAGCUUUGGCUUGUGUGAGCGCUCAGUGAGGGCAUCUUCUGAGCCACCCUACCUGUGCAGGCCUCAGUCCAGCAUGAGAACAAAGGGAAGAUCCAAUCACCCUGCAGAGAAGCCCAGCUACAAGUCCUUUCUCUGCCUUAACACAGUUAUGGUGGCUGUAUAGUUAGGUUUGCUUCUGAUCAGAGCUAGGUAUCAUAUGAUCUUGCAAACGUAAUUAAGAAACAGACUCCUUAAUCAGAAGUCUGUUUUACCUUUUCUCUCCAUGUUUGUUUUUAGUUAAGGUAUGUAUGCUAGUUGCUCAGUCGUGUCCGACUCUUUGUGAUCCCAUGGACUAUAGCCCUCCAGACUCCUCUGUCCAUGGAAUUCUCCAGGCAAGAAUACUGGAGUGGGUAGCCAUCCCCUUCACCAACAGAAUCUUCCUGACCCAGGGAUCGAACCCAGGUCUCCUGCACUGCAGUCGGAUUCUUUACUAUCUGAGCCAUAUCAAGAACACAACUAAGGAGUCUGCUCAUCUGGGCUGAAUUCUACUGACAUCUCUUACCAGCUGUGUAACCACAGGUGAAGGAUUGCACCUCUGUGCCUCAGUCUUCUCUGCAAAAUGGCUCCUCUGUCCAUGGGAUUCUCCAGGCAAGAAUACUGGAGUGGGUAGCCAUUCCCUUCUCCAAAGGAUCUUCCCAACCCAGCAAUUGAACCCAGGUCUCCUACAUUGCCGGCAGAUUCUUUACCACUGAGCUACCACGGAAGCCCCAGUUAAAAGGUGGGCAAGCAGACCCAAGUUUGUUUGGAAACACCUACCACCUCAGGGUAUCAGCUCCACCAGGACAAAGCUGGCAUCCUUUUCACUGAGUGCUCCCAUUCUUAACAUGGUGCCUGAAAGAUGGGCAUGGGAUCUUAGUUCCCCGACCAGGGAUUGAACCAGUGCCCCGGCAGUGGAAGCACAGAGUCCCAACCACUGGACCAUCAGGGAAGUCCCACACUUACCUUUAUUUUUAAAAUCCCUCUAUGUGUUAUGUGCAUAGAUUAAAAU